rnacentral:rRNA from 1 species
CCUGGGAUAAAUCCAAGGUGAUACCUGCCCAAUGGUUCAAAACUCUACUUAAAAGUAGGAAAAUCAACUUAAUGGCUGCAGUAUUCCUGACUGUAUUAAGGUAGCACAAUCAAUCGCCACUUAAUUGGUGGAUAGUAUGAAUGGUAUAACGAAAGUUUCACUGUCUCAAGUAUAUAAAGAAAAAAAUUGAAAUAAUAGUUAAGAUCCUAUUUAAAAUCGUAAGACGAUAAGACCCUAUAAAGCUUUACUGUUAAUAUUCAAAAAAAGAGUAUAAGACAGUUUACUUGGGGCAAGGACUUUUUAAAAAGAAAAAAAGUAAACAAAAUUAAUAAUUACAAUUUAUUGUAUAAACCAUGAUUUUAACAAUUACUAAGUAGGUUAUAAUGACCUGUUAACAUUGAAAAAAAAAGUUAACAAUCAAUUGAUAAAAGCUACUUUAGGGAUAACAGGAUAAUUUCAUCAAAGAGAUGUUAUCACUGAUGAAGUUUGUCACCUCGAUGUUGAAUUAAGAUAACCUAACGGAGCAAAAGCUGUUAAAGGUAGGUCUGUUCGACCUUUAAAUAU